GUGCUAACGUCCGUCGUGAAGAGGGAAACAACCCAGACCGCCAGCUAAGGUCCCAAAGUCAUGGUUAAGUGGGAAACGAUGUGGGAAGGCCCAGACAGCCAGGAUGUUGGCUUAGAAGCAGCCAUCAUUUAAAGAAAGCGUAAUAGCUCACUGGUCGAGUCGGCCUGCGCGGAAGAUGUAACGGGGCUAAACCAUGCACCGAAGCUGCGGCAGCGAACGUAUCACUUAAAGCGAUUCAGCGGAUGACGAUUGACGGAGCGAAGCGACGUCAAAGCGUAUACAAAGUCGAGUCGGUUUAAGGAUACGUUCGUUGGGUAGGGGAGCGUUCUGUAAGCCUGCGAAGGUGGCCUGUGAGGGUUGCUGGAGGUAUCAGAAGUGCGAAUGCUGACAUAAGUAACGAUAAAGCGGGUGAAAAGCCCGCUCGCCGGAAGACCAAGGGUUCCUGUCCAACGUUAAUCGGGGCAGGGUGAGUCGACCCCUAAGGCGAGGCCGAAAGGCGUAGUCGAUGGGAAACGGGUUAAUAUUCCCGUACUUGGUGUUACUGCGAAGGGGGGACGGAGAAGGCUAUGUUGG
rnacentral:rRNA from 1 species